ACACGUGGGCAAUCUGCCCUUCACUCUGGGACAAGCCCUGGAAACGGGGUCUAAUACCGGAUAACACUCUGUCCCGCAUGGGACGGGGUUAAAAGCUCCGGCGGUGAAGGAUGAGCCCGCGGCCUAUCAGCUUGUUGGUGGGGUAAUGGCCUACCAAGGCGACGACGGGUAGCCGGCCUGAGAGGGCGACCGGCCACACUGGGACUGAGACACGGCCCAGACUCCUACGGGAGGCAGCAGUGGGGAAUAUUGCACAAUGGGGCGAAAGC
rnacentral:rRNA from 1 species